rnacentral:rRNA from 1 species
UACGGAGGGUGCGAGCGUUGUCCGGAAUCACUGGGCGUAAAGGGCGCGUAGGCGGCAUGCCAAGCGUGUGGUGAAAGCCCGGGGCUCAACCCCGGGUCGGCCGUGCGGACUGGCGUGCUCGAGCACUGUAGGGGCGGGUGGAAGUUCCGGGUGUAGCGGUGGGAAUGACGCAGAGUAUCAGGAGGAACACCGAUGGCGAAGGCAGCUCGCUGGGACGGUACUGACGCUGAGGCGCGAAAGCGUGGGGAGCAAACAGG